CAGUCACAUCACGUUGAAACACCUGUUCCUGUAAGAUCACUGCAGUUAAGCAACGUCAAUCCUGAUUAGUACCUAGAUGAGUGACCGCUUGCGAAUAACAGGUUUUGUA